GUUUGUGGUCAUGUCAUCUGCAUCGGAGGUGUAUUGGAGUCUUGUGAUUGCCUCGUAGCGGUGCUAACAGCAGGUUCAUUCAGAUGGUCAACAUUUGUGGCACCAAAUGCAUUGAAAGUCACAGAUCAGGUGGAAUUCUGGAAAGAGGGUGCAGCCUUAAUCCCAUCCUGCUGUUUCUCAUCGGAGAGCUUGUCAACUUUUACUG